rnacentral:lncRNA from 1 species
UGGUUGUUCAUUUUUCCUGAAAGUAGAAACGUCCAGAGGCUCUUCUGACCAAGAGGUCUUAGUUCCAAAAGAAGGAAUGCUUCCACCAGGAGACCCAACAACAUUUCCAUUGAAUUGGGAGUUGAGGUGGUCACCUGGCCACCUUGGGUCUUUCAUGCCUCUGAAUCAACAGGUAAAGUGGGAAGUUCCUCUACUGGCUGAGGUGACUAAUCCUGAUUACUAAGCAGGAAAUUCGGUUGCUACUACAAGAUGGAGACGUAUUAAUGAUAGGUAACUUUAUAUUGCAGUAUUAAGUUAUAAGACAUCAAAGGUGGAGAAGAAACAUCACUCAAGGACUUUGCAUCCCCUUGGGAAAAGUGUUGUUAUGUUUUCAAUAGUAUGCAGGAUAGUUAUAUCAUGUUAAGUGAAAGUAUGACUUUGUUAUUGUCUUUAAAUUUUUUUUUUUUUUGAGACAUAGUCUCACUCUGUCACCCAGGCUUGAAUGCAAUGGCAUGAUCUUGGCUCACUGCAACCGCCGCCUCCCAAGUUCAAGCGAUUCUCCUGCCUCAGCCUCCUGAGUAGCUGGGAUUAGAGGCAUACGCUGCCACAUCCGGCUAAUUUUUGUAUUUUUAGUAGAGAUGGGGUUUCACCAUGUUGGCCAAGCUGGUCUCAAACUCCUGACCUCAUGAUCUGCCCACAUUGGCCUCCCAAAGUGCUGGGAUUACAGGCGUGAGCCACUGCGCCCAGCCAAAGACUUUUUUUUUUUAAGAGAUAUGGUCUUGCUGUGGUACCCAGGCCGGAGUACAGUGGUGCGAUCAUAGGUCACUGCAACCUUGAACUCCUGGGCUCAAGGGAUCCUCCUGCCUCAGGCUCCCCAGUAGCUAGGACUACAGGUGUACACUCCCACACUGGCUAAUUAAAAAAAAUUUUUUUUGUAGAAAUGGGGUCUCAUUAGGUUGCCCAGGCUGGUCUUGAACUCCUGGGCUGAAGCGAUCCUCUUGCCUUGGCCUCCCAAAGUGCUGGGAUUACAGGGUCCCUGGUGUGUUAUUGUCAGCCUUUAGAGAUCAAGUAUGGUUAAGGAGAUGUGUAGGAGUGUGAUUGCUGGGUCAUCGGUCUUAAUUUUAGCUAUCCUAAUGAGAGUGUUGUGGUUUUAAAUGGAAAAAUCCCUAGUUGACUAAAGAUGUUGGUAAUCUCUUCAUUGCUUAUAGGCCAUUUUUGUAUCUUGUGAACUAUCUACAAGAUAUAAAAAAAGCCUUUGCCCAUUGGUUUAUUGGGCUGGCUUAUUACUCAUUUAUAACAGUUCUUUAUGUAUUCUGGAUACAAGACUUUUGUCUAAUGCUUUCUAUUGCAAACUCUCCACCUGUGGCUUGCCUUUUCAUUUUCUUAAUGUUGUCUCUCAAAGAGUACCAGUUUUUAAUUUUGAUAGAGUUCAACUUAUCAAUUGCUUUCUUUUUUUUUUUUUUUUUUUUGAGACAGGGUCUCACCCUGUCACUCAGGCUGGAGUGCAGUGGCGCCAUCUCAGCUCACUGCAACCUCCGCCUCCCAGGUUCAAGUGAUCCUCCUUCCUCAGCCCCACAAGUUAGCUGAGACUGCAGGUACGUGCCAACAAGCCCAGCUAACUUUUGUAUUUUUUGUAGAGAUAGCAUUUUGCCAUGUUGCCCAGGCUGGUCUUGAACUCCUGAGCUCAAGUGAUCUGCCUGCCUUGGCCUCCCAAAGUGCUGGGAUUACAGGUGUGAGCCAGGCCAUGAAUCACUUUUUAUGGUUCAUAUUUUUUGUGUCCUAAGAAGUCUUUGCCUAUCCCAAGGUCACAAAUACUUUUUCUAUGUUUUCUUCUAAAAUUUUCUUUUAUAGGUUUAGCUUUUAAAUUUAGGUUUAUCAUCCAUUUUGAGUUACCUCAGGUGGCUCCUUCAGUGCUUCUGAAAUCUAUAAAUGCAUCCUCCACCAACCUCAAAUCUAAGUAAACCUUGCCACCUCCUUCUCCUUCACUCCUCAUUCAAUUUAUUGCCAAGUCCUGUCCAUUUUACCACUACAUUAGCACUCUUCUCUGUCACUACCCUCCUACUUUGCCUUGACUAUGUGGCCAGUGGCCUCCUAACUGGCUUCCCGGCCCCAGCUUUGAGACUCCCAUCAGACCACUCUUCACGUUGCUAUCUAAGUAACUUAAAAACAGACAUAAUGAUCAAGUUAUUUCCCCUGCAACCCUGCUGAAAAAAACCUGAAUAGCUUCUACCAAGCACUCAGAUUAAAGUCCCAAAUCCGGCCGGGUGUGGUGGCUCAUGCCUGCAAU